rnacentral:rRNA from 1 species
AUUAAGCCAUGCAUGUCUAAGUAUAAACGAUUUAAUCGUGAAACCGCGAAUGGCUCAUUAUAACAGCUAUAAUUUACUUGAUCUUGACACAAUCCUACUUGGAUAACUGUGGUAAUUCUAGAGCUAAUACAUGCAUUAAAGCUCUGACCUCACGGGAAGAGUGCAUUUAUUAGAACAAAACCAAGCGGCUUCGGCUGUUUCUGGUUGACUCAUAGUAACUGAGCUGAUCGCAUGGUCUUGCACCGGCGACGUGUCUUUCAAGUAUCUGCCGUAUCAACUUUCGAUGGUAGUGUAUCUGACUACCAUGGUGAUCACGCGUAACGGAGAAUAAGGGUUCGGCUCCGGAGAGUUCGCCUGAGAAAUCGCGAACACAUCUAAGGAAGGCAGCAGGCGCGAAAAUUACCCACUCUCAGCACGAGGAGGUAGUGACGAAAAAUAACGAGACCGUUCUCUUAUGAGGCCGGUCAUCGGAAUGGGUACAAUUUAAACCCUUUAACGAGUAUC